rnacentral:rRNA from 1 species
GAUGAACGCUGGCGGCGUGCCUAAUACAUGCAAGUCGAGCGAAUGGAUUAAGAGCUUGCUCUUAUGAAGUUAGCGGCGGACGGGUGAGUAACACAUGGGUAACCUGCCCAUAAGACUGGGAUAACUCCGGGAAACCGGGGCUAAUACCGGAUAACAUUUUGAACCGCAUGGUUCGAAAUUGAAAGGCGGCUUCGGCUGUCACUUAUGGAUGGACCCGCGUCGCAUUAGCUAGUUGGUGAGGUAACGGCUCACCAAGGCAACGAUGCGUAGCCGCCCUGAGAGGGUGAUCGGCCACACUGGGACUGAGACACGGCCCAGACUCCUACGGGAGGCAGCAGUAGGGAAUCUUCCGCAAUGGACGAAAGUCUGACGGAGCAACGCCGCGUGAGUGAUGAAGGCUUUCGGGUCGUAAAACUCUGUUGUUAGGGAAGAACAAGUGCUAGUUGAAUAAGCCGACACCUUGACGGUACCUAACCGGAAAGCCACGGCUAACUACGUGCCAGCCGCCGCAGUAA